GAUGAACGCUGGCGGCGUGCCUAAUACAUGCAAGUCGAGCGAACGGACGAGAAGCUGUCUUUUCUGAGGUUGGCGACGGACGGGGGAGUAACACGUGGAUAAGCUACCUAUAAUACUGUGACAACAUCGGAAAACCGGAACUAACGGCGGGGAAUACUUUCUACCUGAUGGUUCAUGAGUGGAAGAGGGUCUUGCUGUCACAUAUAGGUCGAUCCGCGCUGCAUUAGCUAGUUGGUAAGGUAACGGCUUAGCAGGGCAACGAUGCAUAGCCGACCUGAGAGGCUGAUCGGCCACACUGGAACUGAGACGCGGUCCAGGCGACUACGGGAGGCAGCAGUAGGCAAUCUGCCGCAACGGGCGAGAACAUGACGGAGCAACACCGCGUGAGUGAUGACGGUCUUCGGAUCGUAAAACUCUGUUAUUAGGGAAAAACCUAUGUGUACGUAACUGUGCACAUCUUGACGGUACCUAAUCAGAAAGCCCCGGCUAACUACGUG
rnacentral:rRNA from 1 species